AUACGGAGGGUGCAAGCGUUGUUCGGAAUUACUGGGCGUAAAGCGCGCGUAGGCGGCUUUGUAAGUCGGAUGUGAAAGCCCUGGGCUCAACCUGGGAAUUGCACUCGAUACUGCAGAGCUAGAGUAUGGUAGAGGGAAGUGGAAUUUCCGGUGUAGCGGUGAAAUGCGUAGAUAUCGGAAGGAACACCAGUGGCGAAGGCGACUUCCUGGGCCAAUACUGACGCUGAGGUGCGAAAGCGUGGGGAGCAAACAGGAUUAGAAACCCCAGUAGUCC
rnacentral:rRNA from 1 species